UACGUAGGGUGCAAGCGUUGUCCGGAAUUAUUGGGCGUAAAGAGCUCGUAGGCGGUCUGUCACGUCUGCUGUGAAAACUCGGGGCUUAACCCCGGGCCUGCAGUGGGUACGGGCAGACUAGAGUGCGGUAGGGGAGACUGGAAUUCCUGGUGUAGCGGUGAAAUGCGCAGAUAUCAGGAGGAACACCGGUGGCGAAGGCGGGUCUCUGGGCCGUAACUGACGCGGAGGAGCGAAAGCGUGGGGAGCGAACAGG
rnacentral:rRNA from 1 species